rnacentral:rRNA from 1 species
UGUCGUAACAAGGUUUCCGUAGGUGAACCUGCGGAAGGAUCAUUCGCACAUAUGAUUCUACACUCUUAACGAUUCGUGGUGUUGGCGGUCACACGUCGAUCCCGAUGGUACCGGCCGUCGUGGCCAACUCGUGGUAUCGCCGCCUUGUGCGGUUUGUGGUUCUGCCGCAAUCUUCAUUCUACCACUUGCAGCGGUGGAUGUCUUGGCUCGAGUAGCGGUGAAGGACGCAGCGAGCUGCGAUACGCACAGCGAUGUGCGGAAUUCCGUGAACUGCAGAGUGUCGAACGCAUGGCGCCUCAUGGUUCUGCCGUGAGGUACGUCUGGCUCGGUGUCUUGUUCUUUUCAUCCCCCGCGAAUUUCGGUUCGCUGGGACGCAGCGCGUGCCACUUCAGUGUUAUGCGAGGUGGCAUGUUGGGAGUGCUCAGUGUUUGCACGAGAGUCGCUUUCCAGCGAGGAUUCCAGUAUAUCUGGUAAUUCGUUGUAGUCCUCUGUGCAUUCAACUGAGAUUUGCGAGAUUUAUUUCGCUUCCCUUUUGGACCCGAGCUCAGACUGGGUUACCCGCUGAAUUUAAGCAUAUAAGUGAGCGGAGGAAUUGAAAAUGAAUAUGAUUCCCUUAGUAAUGGCGAACGAACAGGGAAGAGCCCAUAUUGAAAAGCAGGGGCGUAAGCCUUUCGCGUUGUGGUGUGUAGACACGUAGCCAGCGUCUUCGCAGGUGUAAGUCCCUUGGCAACGGGCAUGUUAGAGGGUGAGAAUCCCGUCUGACAUCUGUGAAUGGACGCGUACGGUUCGUGCUCUCAAAGUCGUGUUCCCUGGGACGGGAGCGCUAACUUGGUGGUAUAUUCCGUCUGAGGCUCAAUACUCUCUCGAGUCCGAUAGCGAACAAGUACCGUGAGGGAAAGAUGCAAAGUACUUUGGAAAGAGAGUCAAACGUGCCUGAAACCGCCGUGAGGCAAGCGUGUGAAACCUGCGCUCGUCCAGGAGAUUGGUUGUUCCUCGGUAACUGAAACCCUCGGGUAGAUGGAGCUGAUGGUUCAGUCGCAUCUCCUGGCAUUUGCCAACACGGGUUACCGGGCGGUGAAGCGUCCUUCGAUGUGCUGGCUUCGGUUGGCAUUUGGGGGUACUGACCGCUUGGUGACUGCUAGUGCGGGCGAGAUCUUUCUUUUCGCGUGUGCGCUGGAAGCGUGGUGUGCCCCUGCAUGCAGGAGCGCCUGCGUCAAGGCGUUAGCGUGUUAACGGAUCUCCUCGCUGUGAUGGCCUGCAAGGAGUCACACGACCCGUCUUGAAACACGGACCAAGGAGUCCAUACACAUGUGCGAGUCUUCGAGUGCCAAACUUGUAGGCGUAGUGAAAGCAACUGUCGGGACUUGAGCACCGGCGACCGGCCACGAUCUUCGGAGAGAGGUUUGAGUGUGAGCGCAUUUGUUGGGACCCGAAAGAUGGUGAACUAUGCGUGA